UGGGGACUCAGGGACUCCACGUGGUUGCCACUUCUCUGCAAGUCUACGGGGAUUCAAGACACAGAGCUCAGCGCCCACACCAGCGCUCUGUAGUUCAGCCCUCCCCACUGUCUUCCCCAGACACACCUGCGCAAGCACGGAAAGCCUGGUGGAGACGCUGCUCUAGCUCAGCCUGUGGCAGCAACUUCAAGGUCAUCAGUCGGAAACGGGGGUACGGCACACACUUUGCCGUGCGGUGUACCGGUUUCCAAAAGUUGAGAUCCAUACGCUCCAACGCAGGGAAAUGUCCAAGACCUAUUAAGUGAAAAAAGUAACCUGUAGAAAAGUGCAUACCAUUUAACCUUUGUUAUGCAGGCCGUAAGAAGGGACUUGUGUGUUUUGUGUUUUAUAUCCUGUCCCCUGGGCCUCUACCGGGAACACAGGAAUCCUGUAUUUCUUCUCUGGUUUAGAAACAAGAAGAGGGGCCUCUGGCUGGCUCAGUCGAUGGAGCAUGUGACUCUAGAUCUCAGGGUUGUGAGUUCAAACCCCAUGUUGGGUGUAGAGAUUAUUUAAAAAUAAAAUCUUCAGGGGUGCCGGGAUGGCUCAUUCGGGUAAGUGUCUGACUCUUGAUUUCAGCUCAGGUCUUGAUCUCAGGGUCGUGAGUUCAAGUCCCACACUGGGCUCCAUACCAGGCAUGGGGCGUACUAAAAAAAAAAAAAAAAGAAAGAAAGAAAGAAAGAAAGAAAGAAAGAAAGAAAGAAAGAAAGAAAGAAAGAAAGAAAGAAAAAGGAAGGAAGGAAGGAAGGAAGGAAGGAAGGAAGGAAGAAAAAGAAAAGAAAGAUAAAUUAAAGUAAAAUAUUUAAAAAAUUAAAAACAAGAAGAAAGUAAGUUUGGUGUGUUUUGCCUUCAAUGAGGUGAUCCUUUCUUUGGUUAAAAGUACUCUGGGUGAUCAUUUAGUUUUCAUGCUUUAUUUCAUAAGCAGUUUACUUUGAUAAAAACAAACAUGAAGACUGGAAUUUAACCUUCAGGGAGACUCUCUUACUGGCCCACCUUUGUGGCUCUUAGACUUGUUUCAGUAGAGGUGCUCUCAUUUGGGCCACGCCAGAGUUCUGGGGAAUCACGCUGGACCCCACGCCGCGUGUUGCUAUCUGGUUGCCGUGGGCAGAGUGUGCGUCCCACAGGAGGAGGGAGCACGGAGAGCAGAUCAGCCGCGGGAAGAACCCCACUGGGCCUGCUCUUGGCAGGCCGGGGUCAGCGUAGCUCCUGACACCCUUCCUGUGUCCUGAGCUUGCCUCGUCGUGAAAUGACGAUGAUGGGUGGUGAUGGUAGGAGGGUCCCCUGCUCUGCUCCGUGGCUGUUUUUAUGCCAAAAGAGAUUCUGUAUUUCUGGGACAGUAUCUGUGUUUCUUUGCAAACUGAUAACGUGCUUUUAAAAAUUACCCGAUUGACUGUUGUGCAUUAGUAUGUAUCCCUUUAGUUAACAUGGGAGACCUCACGAGACUCUGACAGCUCCGUAAGCCUGUUACCUGCUUGGACCUUCCUGUCUUUGUUUGUUUGUUUAUUUGUUUAUUUAUUUUGAGAGAGAGAACAUGAGCAGGGGAGGGGCAGAGAGGGGGAGAGAGAGAAUCCCAAGCAGGCUCCAUGCUGUCAACACAAAGCCUGACGUGGGGCUCGAUCCCACAAACCGUGAGGUCAUGACCUGAGCCAAAAUCAACCAACUGAGCCACCCAAGCGCCCCAACCUUCCCGUCUUUUUAUCUCUGAACUUGCAUUUAACGGGUCCCUCUUCCAUGCAGACUUCUUUUCAGGUAGGUUUCCUGGCUGGGAAAAGUAUAUACACUCCAGCAACCGGGGUGACUCUGGAUAUAAAAUUAGUUUGGAAAAAGAGUAGAGGGUCUGGACUGAGGAUUUGUUUGGGGGAGGGGAGUUCGGCUGGGGGCCACAUUCCGGGAAGGGUGAGACAGUGCUGUGUGGGCACAGACAUGCCCCUGUGCCCCUGUGCACGUGGCAGGAAGAGCCAGGCCUCCAAGGGCCUCUCGCCCGGUCCGCUGUCUGAAGGUGCCCUUCCUCUCCCGGACAGCACCUCCUCACCCUGGUGGCCAGUGUCUGCGUCCUUCAGGAUUGUAGCCCAGGGUGGUAUCGGACCUUGCCCAGAUCUCCUCCUUAACACCAGGGAACGCCACUAGGAUUUUUCCCAGAAGUCACUCCGCUUUUGUGGACUGCCCCCCUACUCUCCCAGGGACUGAUUUGGGGCAUCCUUCCACUGAGAGCUAGGAGCACCUGGCCUCCCGGAUUAGUCCUUAGCACACCUCAUGGUGGCAUCUGUGACUCCUGCCGCCCCUGGGUCCUCCCAUCCCUGUCAUGUGCCGGGGAGGCACAGUGUCCCCAUCUCUGUGGCCCCAGCGCACAGCUGGAGGGUCGGCAGCACCGUUCGACAGGCAUUGUUUAGGCUGAACACACAGUGAAAACUCAAGCCCUUUUUGAGUGAAUGCAGAGUCCUCAGCAAAUACCUUGUUUUAUUUUUUUAUUGUUAUUAUUUCUUUACUUUGAAAAAGAGAACAAGCUGGGGAGGGGCAGAGAGAGAGAGAGAGAGAGAGAGAGAAUCCCAGGCAGGCUCCACACGGCCAGCGUGGAGUCUGAUGUGGGGCUCAGACCCAUGAACCGCGAGAUCAUGACCUGAGCCGAAAUCUGGAGUUGGACGUUUAACUGACUGAGCCACCCGGGGGCCCCAGCAAAUAACCUUCUUAAAAUAAUGAGCCAUGUGUGUGUGACCAGUAGCUAGAAAAUGGGAGAACAGGUUUUCCAAGUGGUUAGGCUCUCUAACCUAAGGUUCCCAGGUUGGUGAGAACUUCUCCUAAGGAGACACAGGCAAUGGGGGGAGAGGGGCCCCUCCGCCUGGGUCCCCAAGCUCGGGCCUCUAAACAGAGAGGUGGCCGUGGUCAUCAAAUCCUGCAGGGGCUGUGUAGUUUUACUGGUCUUCACGGAGAGGAAUGGGAAGCAGGACAUUGAGAGAAGAACAUAAAUGCGUCUCGUAUGUCACAGAAUUGUAGAAGAGAGAGGCCUGUGUGGUCUUUCUGUCUUGGGGGCAUCGUGACUGUGGCCCGGAUUUCACCUCGGCGAUCCUGUGCCCCCCACCGUAUUCGGUGCUUUCGUAAGCCUGCUCCCCACACAUGCACUCCUGGUUUCCUUCUGUAACCCACGCUAGUUAAUAUAUUAUUUAUCACGUGUACAAUACAAGUUCCUACUGGCUGGUAACCUGUUCCCACAACUGAGCCAGUGUGCGGACAAAGGGCAAACCAAUUUUAAUUAUUAAGAAAACCAUUUCAGAAAAUAAGACAGAAGUACUCGUAAAUAUCAGCAGGGCAUGGCCCGUCCUAGGUAAAACAUGAAGAUCCUCUUUUUCUCCCCAUACAUGUUCAAAGGGUCAUUUAAUUUAUCGGCCAACUUGGCUAGUUGUCAACCUUUUAACUGUGUCUUUAUUUAGCCAGCAGAGGGCAGCACAGAUUGACUUUACCGCAUCCAGUAUUUUUUUUUUUUUUUUUUACUUUAAAACCAUUUAAAACUGCUGUACCAACUAUUUUCUAGCACAGUUUGAAUUUUUUCUUCUUUCUCAUCUGAGAAUUAGUAUUGCUGCUUCCCCGUCUUUGUGGAGGACAAUGUUUUGAUGUUUACAUUUAGCCUCACAAAUACUGUUACAUUCUUAUUUUGUGAAGUAUUUGUGACCUGUUUGCGAAAGUCUCCCCGGACUGGUGAGGCUGGUGAUGGUGGCUGCCGAGUGCAGUACGUAGGGACAUUGGUCCACUGUCACCAGAAAGUGGGGAGUCGUUUAGCCAGGGUCCCGGGACUGGUGCCACCUGGACCCGCCCCGGGAGGAGUGUGACCCCAGACGCGGGUUCUCGAGCACCAGGGCUCUGCGUGAGCGUCUGAUAAAUGUAUCCACCCUCUUCUCAGGAAAAAAUGCAUGUAAGCUCGGAAACAUACGGCUUCUCAGUUUUAUGGUGUUUUAUGCCAUCGAUAAUGGAUUUUCUUCACACAGAAAAAAAGACCAGAGUUUGUGAAGAAUUGUACCUUUCUAUUCUUUCCUUACGAGAGUUAAUGACUUCUUGGGAAAAAUUGAAAUUCAAAUUGUGUGUGAAAAGGAAAGGGCAGAAGGGCAUGGUUUAGAUUGUUGUUUUUUAAUAUAUACCUAAUUGAUUCUGACUUUUUUAAAGCAUUUUAUUUAAAAAUUUUUUAUUUUAUUUUAGAGAGUGCAAGACACCCCCCCCCCCCAGUGGGGAGGGGACCAGAGUGAGAGAGAAUCUUAGGCAGGCUCCACACUCAGCACAGAGCCCGACGCGGGGCUCAAUCUCACGACCAGGAUCAUGACCUGAGCUGAGAUCAGGAGUCAGAGGCUCGACUGACUGAGCCACCCAGGCGCCCGUUGACUUUUUCUUUUGAUGAUAAGAGUGCUUUAAAAAAAAAAAAAAAAGUGCCAGAAACUCUGCCUCACGGCAGUCCAUAUUGGCAGAUAGUCAGGAACCCCAGUACGCUCUCCUCCAGGUGCAAGGUUCGCAGUUGUCAUGGAAUGGCCAUGCUCUUUGAAUUCUUCGUUUGACUUCUUUGCAACACACACAUAUUUCCUUUGUCCUCAGCACCACCCCCCCUUUUUGGGCAAGAUCUAUUCAUAUCUGUGAGGAAAACAGUACAAAUGUGUGUCGUUUGUUUAUUUUAUUUCAUUAUUAUUAUUUUUUUGUGUUUAUUUUUGAGAGAGAGAGACAGAGCACGAGCAGGGAAUGGGCAGACAGACAGAGGGAGACACAGAAUCCGAAGCAGGCUCCAGGCUCCGAGCUAUCGGCACGGCGCCCGACGCGGGGCUUGAACCCACAAGCUGUGAGAUCAUGACCUGAGCUGAAGUCAGACACUCAACUCACUGAGCCACCCAGAUGUCCCUAAAUCCGUGUUUUUUAGGUAGCCUAAGCAGUGGUAACCUUCCAAAGAGUUUGCAGUAUGUGCAGGUGUGUGUGUGUGUGUGUGUGUGUGUGUGUGUGUGUUUUGCUGCAGAGAACUGCUGUUUGUGACCCCACCCCCCACGUACAGCGGCUCUUCUGGUGACGGUGUGCCCCGUGCCGCCCUCCUGCUGGCAGCUGGCCAGGAAGGAUCUAAGCUGCAGGGGAGGAGGCCAUCAGGAAGGGGAAUGAUUUACCCUCACAGCCCAGAAAGGCUGCAGGGCUCCAUGGGCCUCUGAGAACGGAGCUGAGGGGGAGGCUGGAAACGGGAGGCUGGAUGGAAGGUGUUCAUGGCGGGCAGGUAGGCUCUAGUCUCCUCUCCUCUGUCUUGCCGCAAGGCGAUGUCUCUUCCACUUUCUGUAAAACACGAAGAAGGUUUGACUCCCGAAGGAGGAUGUGGAGGUGCGUGGCCUCGAGCAUGCGCGCCCGGUCUCUCCUCCACCUGCCCCCCGGCCCCGGGUACUGCUGGCCAGGGUUACAACCCACACAGCCCAGGUGGGAGGUCGGAGGGUGGCUCUUGGGGUUAGUAGGACAGAGAACCCACAGAGUCGCUCCCGGGCUCUGCGCGGCACCCCUUUUUUAUUUACAGGGAGACCCAGCCCACCACACACCGCUUCCGAUCAGGUUGUUGGUGCCGGGCUCUUAGACAAGGAGAAACAGCCUGUGUUUACUAGACGUUUAAGGAAAAGCCUCCGCGUUAAAUAGGAGAACAACGCAAGUGGAAGAAAAGAUACUUGAGGAACCACACCAUAGCAGAACGUCUUAAAAGCCACGGACUUCAGAGUCUUAGGAGUGGUAUUAAUGAAACAAGAACAGGAUGCUAUCCAGAAGGAAUAUUCAGAAUUAAGAGUGAGUGCGUGCACCCUGAAAAUAGCAGAAAGGAAACACCGAGGGCCGAGCGUGGAGGACGAAGCAGAGAGCCGUCCGGUGCAGGUGGCCGUGACACGGUACCCCUGACCGGGUGGCCUCUGCAGCACACGUGUCUCUCUUUGGGUGUGAGGCUGGGGUCAGAGAGCCGGCCUGCGUCAGCGCCUCUUGCUGAACUCUCUCCUCCUGGCUCCCAGAGGGCCGCCCCGUGUGCCCACCAGCUACGGGGACAGCCAGCUGCCCUCUGGCCUCUCCCCGUGUGGCCGCCGGUCUCACGUGAGCAGGGACUCACAAGCCGAUUGCCUCCCAGAGGCCUCACCUCCAGACUCCAUCGCGGUAGGGUUUCAACACACAGAUUUGGGUGGACACAGGCCUUCGCUCCAUUGCCAGAACCCUUCCUAGAAAGUGGCUCGACGAGGAGAUGAAAAGCAGGGUGAAAAGAUAAAAACCAGAGGAUCCACGGCAGAGGGCCAGCGUCUAACAGAAACGCUGAGAGCAGCUGAGGAAAAGGGUAGGACAUCGUUAGAGAUCAUAAGACUUCAGAAUUGGGGUCUACCUAGGGGCCAGCAUGGUGCGUGGAAACGAACUCGCACCCGGGCACCUUGUGACGAAGCUGCACAGCACUGAGGGCAAGGGCCCCGAAAGCUUUCGGAGAGGGGAAGAAGGUCCCACGGAAAAUUCUGGGAGUCAGAAGGGCACUGUAGCUAACAGCACCGCGGGGACAGGGGACGACGAGGGAGUGCCUUCACCGUCGCGAGGAAAUGAUUUUAACUUACGGUUCUGUACCCAGACAACAUGCCGGUCGAGUGUGAGAGAAGAAGAGGGGUGUUUGUGGACACGCAGAAUCCACGCAGCAAUGAAGACCCGCCCCUGCGCGUCCUUGUUCUGUUAGCAGAGGGUAAUUCAGGAAAGAAAAACGCACGGCGUCAGAGGAACCAGAGCCGGCAAGUGCCAGGGGGACGGGGGGAAGCUGCAAGGCCAGGCCGCGGAGGCGCGUGGAGGCUUUUGGAGGGCCGUCGCCAAACACAGGCCGCUCCGAAUGUCUGACCCCGUGGACAGUUUCCUGCCUUAGUGUCGAGAGUUUGCCAUUCGGCCCGUAACGCAGAGAACUCGGCAAACGGAAAAAAAGAGACACUUAGCGCCCGUCUAUGGUAAUUUUAACCACAGUAGGUUCUAUAGCUAAGUCGUGAGCAGUAUUUAUGGAAAUAGUAAGUGUUGAUUGAACCCAGGAUUUACGUGUGACUCUACCGCGUGCGUGCCAGUGUGUGUGUGUGUGUGUGUGUGUGUGUGUGUGUGUGUGUGUGUGUUGGGGGGGGGAGGGGAGAGGUAGAAGCCAAGCCUUCGUCCAUCGUGGCAGGCGGUUGGUGUCCAGAACUGAAAACUCGGGAGCACAUCGUGUGGGUGUGUUACUUGGAAACAGGGAGGUGAUUAGCAGAAGGCCUAGCUAAGAGGGCUACCUCUGUGGAGCACGACGCAAGGGUGGGGGAUACGGUUGGGCAGGAAACUGUGGGUUUCUGUUUUAAGCCAUAGGUACUGUUUGUUUUUUGUACGACGUGUGCAUGUUCCUCUCGUUGAAGAAGAUGAACCAGGCAUGAAGGGUCAGAGAAAGAUCCGGAGGGGCUGCUAGCAGGGUCGCGUUAAGGAGGGUCUUAAGCCCAUGAGGAGGAGCUGAGACUUCUAGGCAGCUGAUGGGGCCGAGGCAGACCUAAGGGGAGGUGCCCGGCAGCCUGUGUUUUGGGGUCCGCCCUUCUCCAUCCUGCUCUGCUGGAGGCUGCCUGGGUGCACUGUGCCCGCAGGCUCCCCUGCCCUCGGCCCCCGCCGGAGUUGUCCACGCGGUUGGUCAGAGGAGAACGAGGUCCAGGUAUUUUCUCCCUGCCAGGCGGCUGAGGGUUAGCCGAGUCCUGUCCCCAAGGCGGCCAGCCACCGCCACCUGCGGGCCUGGCCCUGAUAGGGUGCUCCUUCCUGCUGACCCUGGGGUGCUUCCCCGCCACUUGUGGGUCUCCCCAGACCCCACCCUUACUUCUGUAGACAGUGUCUCAGUUCACCCUCCAGACUCCCGCUCCUUGGGAUCAUGACUGCUGUAGGUAUCACGCAGAGAGAAAAGUUUCCCCGGGACGUGACAUGAAUAUUCAUGCACGUUUCCUCCCAGCGUCAUUUCAAACCAUCACGAGGUUGCACGUUCCCGCCUGCCUGUCCCCAGAGAAGACGAGACGGGGGUAAAGGACUCAGGCUAUUGAAGGUGUUUUAUCCAUUGAAAACAUAACACGUCUUGAGUCAAAACACCGCCAAUCCAAGCGCCUUCACGUGUGAGGUGGAUGCGAGUAGCUACAAAGGGCUGUCUUCCCUCUGUUGGUUUCGUACUUGCUGUGGGGCUGGGCCAGGGGCUGGGCCGCCCAUCUCGUUACUCACACGGCUCUGAGGCCUGGGCAACUGUUGCGCUUUUGUAUUUUCCUUGUUUUCCCAGUGAGUUCAGAGUGUGCUUUGAACUUGUGCACAGCUCCGUUGAAGGAGCCGCGUAUGAUCUUGGUGCUGUAUCUGGGACUGAUGCUGGAGCUGUGCCUGGCGAGUAGGGUGGCACUUUGUUUCCGUUUGCCCGGGAAGGCCAGGUGUCUGCCUGUUGGCUGACGUGCUUAUAAAUAGCACCCACCUGCAAUCUGAAAAAUGUCCCAAGAUCUGGGGGAGUCCGUCAGCAAGUCCCUGGCGCUGCCUUCCAAGUGAAUAGAGCAGGACUUUGAUCACUGUCCCGUCGCCCCUUGCCUGGGUGGCGGCAGCGGCCUCCCUGCCCGUCUCCCUGCUUGUGCCCCUGCUGCCCCGCGGCCGGAGUCAUGACAGCGGAAGUCCGCUCCUUCACUUCGUGCCCGCCCCUGGCAGCGCCUCCCCGUCUCACCCACCGUGGAAACAAGUCCCGAAAACAGCCCCCAAGGCCCUCCGCAGCUCUCCCCUGCCUUCCCCGCCCUCCGGCCUCGCCUUCCCCUCCCGCCACUGUCUGCUCCGCUCCAGGCCGGGGCCAGGGGCAGCCAGCCCUGACCCGCUGGGCGCUUACCUGCCCACGUACGUGCAUUGUCCUCCCCGCUGCCCUCCCUCCCCAGCCCCUGCAGUCCUACGUGCCAUGGAGGCCGGUGCCCGGCACGCCGUGGGGUACCCAGCACCCCACGUGCCUGGAACGAAGCCAGUGGAGGAAGAGAUUACAUAUUUGAUUGUAACACACAGAAACUUCUAUAAAGGGAAAAGAUACCACCACUGCUAUUAAAAACAAGCGACCGGUUGUGAGAAAAGAUUUGCGACGUUAAAAUAAAUGUGGUUUUUUUGACGUUUAUUUAUUUUUUGAG